rnacentral:rRNA from 1 species
AAAAACAUUUCUUAUAAUAGUUAUUAUAAGUAGAAUCUGCUCAAUGAAUAUAAAUAGCCGCAGAAUAUUUACUGUGCUAAGGUAGCAUAAUCAUUUACCUUUUAAUUAAAGGUCUGUAUGAACGAUUUUACAUUUAAAUUACUUUUUUAUAAAAUUUUAUUGAAUUUAAAUCAAUUAUAAAAAUGUUUUUAUAGAUGAAAAAGACGAUAAGACCCUAAUGAACUUUACUAACGUUUAGCUGGGGAAGCUAAUUAAAUAUAAUUUUAAUUUAAAAAAAAAAAAUUCUAAUAUAAUUAAUUUCAAAAGUUACCAUAGGGAUAACAGCGUAAUAUAAUUUUCAAGCUCUUAUUAAAAAUUAAGUUUACGACCUCGAUGUUGAAUU